UUCCUGGUGGCUCAGACGGUAAAGGGUCUGCCUGCAAUGCAGAAGACCUGAGUUUGAUCUCUGAGUUAGGAAG
rfam:TPA: Bos taurus chromosome X, whole genome shotgun sequence.